AUCACCAGCGCACAAUCUCCUCGGCUACCAAGCCGGCGGCGAAAUUUUGCGUAGAGGGAAGGUUACAGCCGCGCAUGCAAGUGUGCCUGAUCGUGAUUUGAAUGGUCACGUACAUUGGGCACUCAAUCCUUGACUCAAGGGUUGACGCUCGAUUCACAAUGUUCCAUGGAGGGUGUAAGACCCAUCUGGCAACGUGUGCUUGAGUGUGUGUGCAAUGGCUUAGCCUCUUAUCCCUGAGAGUCGCGUUGUUUGAACAUACAGCGCUAAGUAGGAGGUAAACUCCUCCUAAGGCUAAAUACAUCCACAGAACCGAUAGCUAACAAGUACCGUGAGGGAAAGUUGAAAAGCACCUUGGAGAGGGGGUGACAAGACCGUGAGACCGUCCAGGGUAAAAGCCAGUGUUAACAAGUAUCCUAGUUGCGCUGGAACACACACGAGGGACAAAGGCACUUGUGUGGCAUGUGGGGAGCAAUCCCUGUGUGUCUGCAAGAGAAGACCUUUAAGUCUCUCUUACUGUGUUCGAUACAGCCCACCGUGAUCCUUGUGUUGGAUAUUCGUGGUAGCUGAAGCUUGAUUUCUCUCUGAUCAUCAAGGGCUUAAGUCUGUCAGAAGCUUGUGAUGGGUGAUGUUACCUAGUAGUUGUGUGUUUGAUUACGCAUGGCGAAUGGUCUCACUGUGUUGCAAGGGUUGGCAGUGUCUCUCUUCCAGAGGCUUGAGCCUGAUCUUAGAGUGCUUGCGUGAAGCUGCCAAUACGUUUGUACUCCACUGCAAGGGUUAUUGUAGACUCUCUCUCUCUCUAGUAGAGAGGUGGUUUCGGUGGUAGUCCUAGGUGUCACUGGUCACGUCUCGAAACACGGGCCAAGGAGCAUAGCGUAGAGCCAAGUCAAAGGAUUACGUGUUAAUCCCUAUGGCAACAGUGAAAGCGAUCGGGCGCGCGCCUAGCGCGCGUCUGUGGACUUGAGCUUAGUAAUAAGCUUUGGGUCCCUCUUUCACACAAGGUUGAUCCUCUUGAGUUACUUCAUGAGGCGCAAACCUCAGGUCUGUCUUAGUUCUCACUUCAUUGUGUGACGUGGCGGACACUGCGUAGGCUCUAAGCUAUGACCCGAAAGAUAGUGAACUAUGCUUGGCGAAGACGAAGCCCCAGGAAACUGUGGUGGAAGUCUGUAGCCGUUUUGACGUGCAAAUCAAUGGUGUCAGCUGAGCAUAGGGGCGAAAGACCAAUCGAACUAUCUAGUAGCUGGUUCCACUCGAAGUUUCUCUCAGGAUAGCUUGAACGACAAAACAUGCAAAAGUAGUCUGGACUAUGUGUCUGGCACACUUAAGCGUGCUGGUAGUCCGCCCACACAAGGCUGCAGUUGUUGAGAGUUGACGAGCAAACUAACUCACCACUCACACUCUCUGCACCAUGUCGAAGGAUGCUUGCGUAUCAUUAGAUACUCGGUAGCAGUUUCGUCUGGUAAAGAGAAUGAGUAGAGUUAGCUCGUUGCUUUCAUAGGCAACAGCAGCGGGGCGUCCUACGCCUCGCACUAUUAUCAAACUUUAAAUGGGCGAGGUACUCGGUAUUGACUUGAUUGCUUGAUACCGGGGCGAAACACGUGAUGGUGCUUUACCAUGGCGAAGGUGAAUGCAUGCGUUCCGAGUGGGUCCUUUCUGGUAAGCAGAACUGAUAAUGAGGGAUGAACCUAACGCACAUACUAAGGGGCCCAAACAACAGCUAUUUCUCGAAACCAUUGGAAAGGUGUUGCUUGCUGAAGACAGCAGGACGGUGGUCAUGGAAGUCGAUACCCGCUAAGGAGUGUGUAAUUACUCAUCCUGCCGAAGCGAGUGACCCUGAAAAUGGAUGGCUCUAUAGCUCUCUCCCCAUGUAUGGCCGUCAGUGGCACUUGAUUCACAUUGUGUCUCAAAGCCCUGACGAGUAGAGUGGGCGUGCUGUAUGCUGAGAAGACUUUCUCGUAAGAGUUGUGUCUGAGCGUACAGCAGUGCAGAUCUUGGUGGUAGUAGCAAGUACUCUGGUGAAUAACCUUGAGCCGUGAGGUUGAUAAGGGUUCCAUGUCAACAGUGUUUGAACAUGGGUAAGUCGGUCCUAAGCUCGCACUAUUCCACUAGUGUUGAUAGCGAGACUUAUGGAGAGCAGAAGAAGCACGCGGACGCCUGUGUGUGUGGUGUGUGUUGGGGAUAACUCUGUGUGUAACGACGAAAGGUAGCGAUUCCUAUCUCUUGAGAUGUUAUUGCUUUGAUCUUAGUAGUUGUGCAUGUAGCAACCUUCCCCUCUAUCUAUCCUCACAUACUACUGUCUGUGUAUCUCUCUCUCUCUCCCACACKCKUGUGGGGAAAAGGGAA
rnacentral:rRNA from 1 species